GACGAACGCUGGCGGCGUGCCUAAUACAUGCAAGUCGAACGAGAGCGACCGGUGCUUGCACUGGUCAAUCUAGUGGCGAACGGGUGAGUAACACGUGGGUAACCUGCCCAUCAGAGGGGGAUAACAUUCGGAAACGGAUGCUAAAACCGCAUAGGUCUUCGAACCGCAUGGUUUGAAGAGGAAAAGAGGCGCAAGCUUCUGCUGAUGGAUGGACCCGCGGUGCAUUAGCUAGUUGGUGAGGUAACGGCUCACCAAGGCCGUGAUGCAUAGCCGACCUGAGAGGGUGAUCGGCCACAUUGGGACUGAGACACGGCCCAAACUCCUACGGGAGGCAGCAGUAGGGAAUCUUCCGCAAUGGACGCAAGUCUGACGGAGCAACGCCGCGUGAGUGAAGAAGGUUUUCGGAUCGUAAAACUCUGUUGUUAGAGAAGAACAAGUGCUAGAGUAACUGUUAGCGCCUUGACGGUAUCUAACCAGAAAGCCACGGCUAACUACGUGC
rnacentral:rRNA from 2 species